rnacentral:rRNA from 1 species
UACGUAGGGGGCAAGCGUUGUCCGGAUUUAUUGGGCGUAAAGAGCGUGUAGGCGGUUAGGUAGGUCCGUUGUGAAAACUCGAGGCUCAACCUCGAGACGCCGAUGGAAACCAUCUAACUAGAGUCCGGAAGAGGAGAGUGGAAUUCCUGGUGUAGCGGUGAAAUGCGCAGAUAUUGGGAGGAACACCAGUGGCGAAGGCAGCUCACUGGCCCGGUACUGACGCUGAGGUGCGAAAGCGUGGGGAGCAAACAGG